GAUGAAGAACGUAGCGAAAUGCGAUACGUAAUGUGAAUUGCAGAAUUCAGUGAAUCAUCGAGUCUUUGAACGCACAUUGUGCCCCCUGGUAUUCCGGGGGGCAUGCCUGUCCGAGCGUCAUUGCUGCCCUCAAGCACGGCUUGUGUGUUGGGCCUCCGUCCUCCUCCCGGGGGACGGGCCCGAAAGGCAGCGGCGGCACCGCGUCCGGUCCUCGAGCGUAUGGGGCUUCGUCACCCGCUCUUGUAGGCCCGGCCGGCGCUUGCCGACACAUCAAUCUUUUUUCCAGGUUGACCUCGGAUCAGGUAGGGAUACCCGCUGAACUUAAGCAUAUCAAUAACCGGAGGA
rnacentral:misc_RNA from 1 species